ACUCCAACCCCUGUGACAUACCACUUGUUGCCUCGGCGGAUCAGCCCGCUCCCGGUAAAACGGGACGGCCCGCCAGAGGACCCCUAAACUCUGUUUCUAUAUGUAACUUCUGAGUAAAACCAYUAAAUAAAUCAAAACUUUCAACAACGGAUCUCUUGGUUCUGGCAUCGAUGAAGAACGCAGCAAAAUGCGAUAAGUAAUGUGAAUUGCAGAAUUCAGUGAAUCAUCGAAUCUUUGAACGCACAUUGCGCCCGCCAGUAUUCUGGCGGGCAUGCCUGUUCGAGCGUCAUUUCAACCCUCAAGCACAGCUUGGUGUUGGGACUCGCGUUAAUUCGCGUUCCUCAAAUUGAUUGGCGGUCACGUCGAGCUUCCAUAGCGUAGUAGUAAAACCCUCGUUACUGGUAAUCGUCGCGGCCACGCCGUUAAACCCCAACUUCUGAAUGUUGACCUCGGAUCAGGUAGGAAUACCCGCUGAACUUAAGCAUAUCAAUAAGCGGAGGA
rnacentral:rRNA from 1 species